CACUCUCUCUCUCUCUCUCUCUCUCAAAUCAUCAUGGUCAUCACUGCGUUAUAUCUCUAUCUUUGCUCCUAUUGUAAUUGCCGUUGUUCCUCCUACAAAGCAAAAAACUAGAGAGGAAAAAAAUUGGGAUAUUACUAUCCACUCCUUUAAGAUUUGGCAAAAUAAUACUCGAUCCCAAAACUGUACUCUCCAUUGAUAUUAGUAAUGGAAUAUUAGAAAGAGCUUAACUUCAGUCAGGAGCUGGCGUAAAAGACCUGUUUUACGCCACCAAUGAAUAAAAGCCACGUCAUAAUUUUAAUGAAAAAUCAAUACACUCUAGUACACACAAUCAUAGCUCAAUUAAACCUACAAUCCUCAAACAUGAAUACACGAUAGUCUCUCAGACCUGAAGAACUAAACGCCUAAACCCCAAAUCCAUCUCCUCCUCUCCUCACCGGAGCUCCACCCCGCCACAUACGCCGCCACACACGCCGUUUUUGGAGCUAGCGCCGCCGCACCCAACCUCAAGCCAUAUAAUGAGGAAAGUAAGAAAGAAAGGGAAAGAGUGAAAGAAAUGGAUGCCUUCAAAGAAGGGGAAAAAAUGAAAGAAAUGGCUGCCUUCAGGGAUUGCCAGAACCUGCAAAAUACAAAGACUCAUGAAACUUGCCUGGAAGGUGACUACCAUGUGACUUUGGAAGCAGAGUUAGAGAACUUCCUUGUGCCUAAUGAAUCAACUGUCAACUUGGCCAUUACAAUGAUGAAUGACCCUAUGCUUCAAAUUGACUGCUUUGGGUCUCUCGACGUACCAGCUGAAGGAUCCAAUUUUCUCUAGAGCUUCAGUUAGUGGAGUUGCUUUUGUGAUGGGGGAAGGUGCCUAUAUGAUCAGAAGAUGGAUACUUGUACUGUUGUACAUGCAUCCUUCUUUGGCCAAUCUUUUGCAUAGAGUAGUGUUUUCUUUUGGAGCUUUUGUAUAUGUGCACAUGUUUCUCAUUGGCCAUAUGAGCUAGCAUUAUCUUUUUUAGUUUUGGCAGCAGCUAAAAGAGUAGAAGUACAUUACAGACCCUCCAAUUGUAUUAAUUUUGUAUCAGUAAAAGGUGCUUUUGUUGUACCUAAA